GGUGAAACUCCCAUUCACAAGGCAGCUCGCUCUGGGAGCCUAGAAUGCAUCAGUGCCCUUGUGGCGAAUGGGGCUCACGUCGAGGCCCUCAAGUGUCUCUUUUCCACCAGGUGUGGCUGAGAUGGGCUCAGGUGCCAGUCUGUUUUUCCUUCUCAGUAUAAGAGCCACCACUCAAGACCCUGCAUUAUGGUGACUUCCCUGGACUGAGCUUUCAUAUUUUUUUUAGAAGAAAUAUUUAGCCUGAGCUACCUAGCCAAAAACAAUUAUAAGCCUUUGGCCUGGAGAUAGAGCACAAGUAAUCAUUAUUCAUUGCUAUUGUAUAUGUGGUUAUUUCGUUUUAACAUCGAGAUAAAAUGUCAGUUUUGUCAGUAAGUUAAUUUGUAAGUUGCUUCUUG
rnacentral:sRNA from 1 species